GACGAACCGUGCGAACGUUGUUCGGAAUCACUGGGCUUAAAGGGCGCGUAGGCGGGCCCGCAAGUCAGGGGUGAAAUCCCACGGCUCAACCGUGGAAGUGCCUUUGAUACUGCGGGCCUCGAGGGAGGUAGGGGCGUGCGGAACUUCCGGUGGAGCGGUGAAAUGCGUAGAUAUCGGAAGGAACACCGGUGGCGAAAGCGGCGCGCUGGACCUCUACUGACGCUGAGGCGCGAAAGCCAGGGGAGCAAACGGG
rnacentral:rRNA from 1 species